GAUGAACGCUAGCGGGAGGCUUAACACAUGCAAGUCGAGGGGCAGCAUAGGGUAGCAAUACUCUGAUGGCGACCGGCAAACGGGUGAGUAACGCGUAUGCAACCUACCCUGUACAGGGGGAUAACCCGGAGAAAUUCGGACUAAUAUCCCGUAAUAAUAUCCGGAGGCAUCUUUGGAUAUUUAAAGUUUCGACGGUACGGGAUGGGCAUGCGUAACAUUAGCUGGUUGGUAAGGUAACGGCUUACCAAGGCUAUGAUGUUUAGGGGUCCUGAGAGGGUGGUCCCCCACACUGGUACUGAGACACGGACCAGACUCCUACGGGAGCAGCAGUGAGGAAUAUUGGUCAAUGGGCGCAAGCCUGAACCAGCCAUCCCGCGUGCAGGAAGACGGCCCUAUGGGUUGUAAACUGCUUUUCCAGGGAGGAAACUUACGCACGUGUUGCGUGACUGACGGUACCCUGGGAAUAAGCAUCGGCUAACUCCGUG
rnacentral:rRNA from 1 species